CGGUCCGGCGAGCGAUUGUAUGCAGCAAGGUUAAGGACUUAAGGUCUGGAGCCGAAGCGAAAGCGAGUUUGAAAAGGGCGUUAAGUUGCAUAUAAUGGGCCCGAAACCGGGUGACCUACCCAUGGUCAGGUUGAAGUGGAAGUAAAAUUCCAUGGAGGACCGAACCGACCUCCGUUGAAAAGGCGGCGGAUGAACUGUGGGUAGCGGAGAAAUUCCAAUCGAACCCGGAGAUAGCUGGUUCUCCCCGAAAUAGUUUUAGGACUAGCCUCAAGUUAGAUACCUGGAGGUAAAGCACUGAAUAGCCUAGCGGCCGAGAGGUUAGCGAAGCUUAUCAAACUCAGAAUGCCAGAGUAUUGAUGCUUGGGAGUCAGACAGUGUCAGAUAAAUGUCAUUGUCAAAAGGGAAACAGCCCAGAUCUACAGCUAAGGUCCCAAAGUCAGGUUAAGUGGAAAACGAUGUGAAGAUACGUAGACAACCAGGAUGUUGGCUCAGAAGCAGCCACACAUUCAAAGAGUGCGUAAUAGCUCACUGGUCGAGCGUCUUUGCGCGGAGAAUUUAACGGGGCUAAACCUGACACCGAAGCUUAGGCAAUACAGCAAUGUAUUGGGUAGGGGAGCGUUGUAUACGCGGUGAAACAGUAGCGCAAGCGGCUGUGGAGUGUAUAGAAGUGAGAAUGCCGGAAUGAGUAGCGCGAAUGCAGUGAGAAUCUGCAUGGCCGAAAGCCUCAGGUUUCUGGAGGAAGGUUCGUCCGCUCCAGGUUAGUCGGGAGCUAAGGUGAGGCCUAACGGCGUAGCCGAUGCACAGACGGUAGAGAUUCCGUCACCACCAAAAGAGUUAAACACAGGGACACAUUUGAAGUCUCGGAGCCGGGUGUUGGUUCCGGUAGCGAUCGAGGGAAAUUAGUACCGAAGUCCGGGAUGGAAGAUGGCGAGAAAAGCUGUGUGUAUUUCUGCGGUGCCCGUACCGCAAACCGACACAGGUAGGUAGGAAGAAGAUUCUAAGGCCAACGGGAGAAGGGUUGUUAAGGAACUCGGCAAAUUGACCCCGUAACUUCGGGAGAAGGGGUGCUCCAGAGAUGGAGCCGCAGAGAAUCGGCCCAAGCAACUGUUUACCAAAAACACAGGUUUGUGCUAAAUCGAAAGAUGACGUAUACGAGCUGACGCCUGCCCGGUGCUGGAAGGUUAAGAGGAGAUGUGCAAGCAUUGAAUCGAAGCCCCAGUGAACGGCGGCCGUAACUAUAACGGUCCUAAGGUAGCGAAAUUCCUUGUCAGGUAAG
rnacentral:rRNA from 1 species